ensembl:lncRNA
GGAACUGCAGGGGCACAUGGCCCGUAGAGAAGGGUGGAGAAGAUUAAUCCUCCUGUCUCUACUAGAUUUUAACUGGAAUCUGUCUUUGACUUAAUUUCCUCUCUUGUCUCAGCCAAAGUCCACUGGAUCCAAAGAAACGCCAGUUAAAAGAGAAUAUUUGGAUGUGCCUGGUUUUUAAAGUUGAACAUGAAUAAUCUUUCAUGCCUCUGACCUUAAUGUCUGUACCACUUUUUGCACAAAAAUAUUGAAACAAUUAAUACUUCCUUGUGUGACAAAAAGGAUUUCCUUUCCUCAAGAGAGGAAAAGCUGAAUGAUACCGUCACAGUACUAAAACGUAGGUACUAACUGCCUCAUGUUGCCAAACCUAAAAUUAUCCUUUUCAUUAAAAUACUGUAUGAUUUGCUUUGCGAUGAAAGGACAAAGACCUGAUUACUCAAGAGUAUCAAGAUACUUUUUGUGGGCUUCCAUUAUAUAACAGAGGCUUAUUCACAACACAAUUCAGUUGACUAGUUAUCAGACUAUUGGCCAAUGCAGUUUAAUAUCGAGUCUUUUCUGUCUUUUUCUUUCCUUUCCUCCUCUUGUUUUGUCUGGGUUUUGAUUUUUUGUUAUUUUGAAUUACAGCAAUAGGAAGGUAUUUUUCAAGUGGUUAACUUGAGGCUGCUUUCCUCCAUCUCUUUAUUUGGGAAGAAAUGAAUUCGGUGGUUCUGUUUUAUUUUUAGUGCUUGUGAAAAUGAAGGAUAGUUGUGCCUGCACUACAAGGAGGGUGAUUUAGAGCUUAACCACGGCAGUCACUUACCGCAGCUGUGCCUCGUGGAACGUACAGAAAGGCAAAGCCCUGAGCCGAAACCGAGGGAAAAGGGUACAGUGAGACUUAAAGGGUUUGCACAUUGACUGCAUUCUUCUCGACUUCUGCACUACGGUCUUUGGGGACUUCACAGUUGCCUAAGGGGAAGAUGCUCAUUGUGGCUGGUUGAACAUCUUAGAGCAGACAAGGCAGAAUGGUGCACCAGACAACUGAAAUUUGCUGUUUCCAUCCUGCCACACUGUCAUCAAAUUGCUGGGCCUUGGGCUGGAGAAGAAGAGCAGGGAAUUCAGCGUGCAUCUACACUGAAGUACCGAAGACAAUCUAGCUACAGGAUUACUUUUUUUCUGGUAUGUACAUGCAGCGUGACCACAUCUUUAGCUGUUUUUUUAGCUCCUGCUGAUGCCUUUAGGCUAGCAGCUACAGGUCUUUUCUGGAGCUGCCUCAAGGCUAUGUGUAGGGUGAG